rnacentral:misc_RNA from 1 species
CAGUGUUGCCGUUGUAGUAACAAUAACAAUUAUAGCGCUAACAUUAGUGGUGCUGCUAGUUCCUCGUUGGAUUGGGAUUGGAAUAGAUGGAGUCGCCAUUUCUCUGAGAUUGAACAAGCUGAGAGUUUUGCUUCUGUUCUCAAGUUCCAACUUGAAGAUGCAAUUGAGAAGGAAGACUUCCAAGAAGCUGCAAAAUUGAAAAUGGCCAUUGCAGAAACUACUUCAAAGGAUAGUGUUGCUGAAAUAAUGACCAAGUUGCAGAAUGCAAUAGAUGAAGAACGGUACCAUGAUGCUUCAAGAUUGUGUAAAUAUACUGGCAGUGGAUUGGUAGGUUGGUGGGUGGGCUACUCAACAGAUUCUGAUGAUCCCUUUGGUAGACUUGUACGAAUAACACCUGGAGUGGGCAGAUUUGUUGGCAGGAGUUACAGUCCAAGGCAGUUGGUCACUGCAUCUCCUGGAACUCCAUUAUUUGAAAUUUUUGUGGUCAAAGAUGCAGAUGAAAGAUAUGUUAUGCAGGUCAUAUGUCUGCAGCGAGCUAAAGGAGUUUCAACAAACUCCACAAGUUCACAUUCUAAAUAUGGUAAUAGCCCAUUCACUUCUGAAGUUGAGACGGCUUCUGCAGUAGAUGGUCAGCGAAAUGAAGUCAAGGCAGAGAGAAGUGAGGAGAAGGGGAUAAAUAUUGAGGUAGCAACUGAGGAAGGGAUAAAAAGUGUGAUAAAUUUUCUUAAAGAUAAGAUUCCAGGGCUGAAAGUAAAAGUCAUGAACAGUAAUGCUGCUGAGGAAGUGAUAGAGGAUAAUGAUUCUGUGAAGCAGCUGAUGCAAGGAGAUGAAGAGAAGACUACUUCUAGUGAAAAUUCUGAAGAUGAAAUUGGUAACUUGGAAGAGAUUCAGCCUGAUGGAGUUUCCCUGGAAGGUGGUAGUGAUCCCUC